rnacentral:rRNA from 1 species
CAGUAGCCGCGGUAAUACGAAGGGGGCUAGCGUUGUUCGGAAUUACUGGGCGUAAAGGGCGCGUAGGCGGCCAUUCAAGUUAGAUGUGAAAGCCCUGGGCUCAACCUAGGAAUUGCAUUUGAUACUGUUUGGCUUGAGUUCGGGAGAGGUGAGUGGAAUUCCCAGUGUAGAGGUGAAAUUCGUAGAUAUUGGGAAGAACACCAGUGGCGAAGGCGGCUCACUGGACCGACACUGACGCUGAGGCGCGAAAGCGUGGGGAGCAAACAGGAUUAGAGACCCCCGUAGUCCCUGUCUCUUAUAC